rnacentral:rRNA from 1 species
CCUACGGGUGGCAGCAGUAGGGAAUCUUCCACAAUGGGCGCAAGCCUGAUGGAGCAACACCGCGUGAGUGAAGAAGGGUUUCGGCUCGUAAAGCUCUGUUGUUGGAGAAGAACGUGCGUGAGAGUAACUGUUCACGCAGUGACGGUAUCCAACCCGACAGGCACGGCUAACUACGUGCCAGCAGCCGCGGUAAUACGUAGGUGGCAAGAGUUAUCCGGAUUAAUUGGGCGGAAAGCGACCGCAGGCGGUUGAUUAGGUCUGAUGUGAAAGCCUUCGGCUUAACCGAAGAAGUGCAUCGGAAACCGGGCGACGUGAGUGCAGAAGAGGACAGUGGAAAGCCAUGUGUAGCGGUGGAAUGCGUAGAUAUAUGGAAGAACACCAGUGGCGAAGGCGGCUGUCUGGUCUGCAACUGACGCUGAGGCUCGAAAGCAUGGGUAGCGAACAGGAUUAGAUACCCUGGUAGUC